rnacentral:rRNA from 1 species
GAUUGAACGCUGGCGGCAGGCUUAACACAUGCAAGUCGAACGGUAACAGGAGAAAGCUUGCUUUCUUGCUGACGAGUGGCGGACGGGUGAGUAAUGCUUGGGAAUCUGGCUUAUGGAGGGGGAUAACGACGGGAAACUGUCGCUAAUACCGCGUAGAGUCGAGAGACGAAAGUGCGGGACCGCAAGGCCGCAUGCCAUAGGAUGAGCCCAAGUGGGAUUAGGUAGUUGGUGGGGUAAWGGCCUACCAAGCYGACGAUCUCUAGCUGGUCUGAGAGGAUGACCAGCCACACCGGGACUGAGASACGGCCCGGACUCCUACGGGAGGCAGCAGUGGGGAAUAUUGCGCAAUGGGGGCAACCCUGACGCAGCCAUGCCGCGUGAAUGAAGAAGGCCUUCGGGUUGUAAAGUUCUUUCGGUAUUGAGGAAGGUUGUUGUGUUAAUAGCACGACAAAUUGACGUUAAAUACAGAAGAAGCACCGGCUAACUCCGU